GAGCCCAAGAUGACAAGAGCUAAGCUGAAGGAAGUCUCUGAAAAAUCUGGAAAGGUCCCGUUUGUCUGGCCUGUGUCUCCAGUCAAGAAACCCAAGCCUCAGUUUGCUGACCUUAAUUUUCCAGACUCUGAUGAUGAAGAUGAUGCUGAUUACAAACCAAGUCAGGAAGAUCUGCUGAAGGAAGAGAGCGAU